CCGAUAGGCGUAGUCGAUGGACAACGGGUUGAUAUUCCCGUACCGGCAUUAACACGACCCGACCGAACCUGCUGAUGCUAAGUCUUCGAAACCAUGAGGCCUUCGGGUUGAGUGGCGGAGCAGACGGCCCGAGGUGGUAGUAGGUGCAUUGAGGAGUGACGCAGGAGGGUAGUCCAACCGCGGCGAUGGUAGGCGUAAGCUGAUCCGCGGGCAAGGUGGUAGGGCGAGGCAUAGGCAAAUCCGCGUCUCAUUGAGCCUGAGAGCCGAGGCGGACCCGUUUAGGGGAAGUGGAUGAUCCCAUGCUGCCGAGAAAAACUUCGCAGUGAGUGUUAGAGCCGCCCGUACCCCAAACCGACUCUGG
rnacentral:rRNA from 1 species